rnacentral:pre_miRNA from 1 species
AGGGGAAUAGCUGGGUCAAAUGGCGGUUCCAUUCCUAGCUUUCCAAGGAAACUCCAUACUGUUUUCCAUAUUGGCUGACCAAUUUGCAGUCCCACCAGCAAU